GCGAAUCAAUAUUUGCUAAGAGGAGAAGAACAAAAUCAGUCGGGGGAAAACAAUUAUUUGCUGGCUUUUCAGAGAAUAUUACCAAUAAUGAUGGUUCCAAACCACAAAAAAAAACUGUUCAGAGAACGGCCUGACACGAGCCCUUUAAUCUGUGCUUCCGUUUACCCUUCGCUUCAUUCCUCUACGAGGAACUUGAAUCCAUGAAAAUUCGUGUAGGAAUACAAACUAAUUGCUACGCAAAGACCAGCCUUCUCUGGUGCGGAACGCUUUUUCUCGGGAAGGGCACAUGCAGCAGCCAAGCCAUUGCGACACGCUCGGAUUGGCACAAGGUCAGAAGACAUUUGCCUGGCACGACAGGCAAAGUUUAGGUGUCUGCGCGGGAGGGAGGCAGAGUGUGUUUCACAAGGCCAAGCACCAGGCAUCCCGGGACGGGAACCCGGCCCAGCCGCCUCCUUCAAGGUCGGCGGAGAAAGAAGGCUCCCUUCCCCCACCCCGACUCGACGGUCCUCCCGAGAACGUCAUUAAACCCGCGCGCCGCGGGAAGAUAAAGCCACGGCUAAUCAGAUGCAGUCGUUUCUAGAUGAUCACUCAGCAGAAACCAUUUUCUCCCUGGAACAAAGGGAUCGUUCAGCCCACAUCUGAGUCACUUUGCUAACGGCGGGGAUUCAGGUAGGAUUUCACAAAGCCCGAGGCCGGCCUGUUUGGAGAUGCCCGUGUCCUUCACGGAUGUGGAAAUCCAGAGCCCCCGAAACAAGGGGGAGGCGGAGGAGGGCUCCGACCGCUCUUGGCUCUUCCAGCCCCAGGGGCCAACUCCGGGCUCCCGCUCCCACGGCAGAGGUUUCCCUGCCUCUCCUGUUGUGCCCAGUACAGCCGCCGACGGGGCAGGAAGUGACAGCCGCUGACCGUCUGUGGGACGGGGAACCAAGGCAGCGCCCGGGGAGCCAGCCUGGCCGAAAGGGCUCUUUGGACUCUCAAACGCGGCGCCCUUCCCCAAGGCUUCGGGAUGCGGGUGGCCGUCUCCGUGGCUUCCGGGCCUCGGCGUGGCUCCGUUGCUCCCCUGGGUGGUUCGCAUAAUCCAUGACUCCAGACACUGUCACCCACUUUUCUCUCAGUGGGGUCUUUUUCACAAUAGGCAAGGUCUAAACUCACAGCUCACAGGUGGAGGGGCCGGGGCCCAGCCCUCCUGGCUCCAAGGCUGGCAUCCUGGGCACCCGUGACCAGGAGAAGCGUCAGCACCACCCCGAGGGUGAGCCACGCCUGAGCAGACCCGUCUUUCCUGCCCGGUGAGGCGGGAGCCUCGUGACCUCACGGAAGACGAGAAGGAGCCGCAGGAGCCACCAUGCCACCAGGGGGACAAACGGGCGUCUUCUGAAAGAUCUGGGCCUUGGGCUGGGCUUGAAGGAUGGCAAAAAAGGGGGCUCCAGACCGAGAGGGCAGUUGGAAAAGGCACCAAGGCAGUGCCAGGGGCAGGCACUGUGCCCAGGAAGCAGCGAUGUGAGAGGUGAGAGGAAAAUACCAGAGCCUGGAAAUGAGGCCAAGGCCAUCCACGGUGGGGACCCUGUGACCCGCCAGCAGGGCCAUGACGAAGAGCUGGCAGGGUAGGGAGUGGCAGCAGGUGGGGCCUGGCCCCCGGCCGUUACCAUGGGCAAACUUCCACUGCAAAAACUCAGUUUGUGGGGAUUUGGGGUUCUCCGGAUUGUGGCUCUGGGGACGCAUCGGAGUGCGUCUCGGCUCAUGGUUUGGAAUAAGCAUCAGCUCCCUUAGCAACACCUUCCUCCCAGUCCCAAGGGCCGGAACCGGGCUGCUGCUCUGCAGGAAGCCCUGGGAAUCCGUCGGGACGAGCUGGGGACGGUGGCCCUGGCCGGAGCUGUAAGGUGCUGCUGGAGGAGGGACACUUGGGGCGUGUGAGGGAGGCUGUCACCCACAGGGCUUCUCCGGUAGAGACAGGGGACGUGGGCGGGGCUGCAGCCCGCAAACAAGGGUGGGAGGCGGGAGAGGAAGGAGGAAGGGCAAUGAAACGUCUCCGAGGAGCCAGACUGCGCCGCUGCAGCACCAGGGCCCGUGCGGGACAGGGAGUGGCAGGACCGCCUCCCCAAAGCACCUCUCGGACGCAGAGGCCGAACAAGUGACUUCCAAGAUCCUCUGCGCCAAGCACCACGACGGCACCUGUGAGGUCCUGCCGCUGUGACGCAGGGGCUGGUAGUGGAGCCCGGAGCCCACUCGCUCCUGCCCCAAGAGCCCUGCCUUAUAAGGCCGUUAAGAGGCCCCCACGGGACAGUGGACACGAAGUGUCCAUGGACCUGCCUCCCUCGACCCCUGCCCCUGGGCGUCAGAUGCCCUUCCCCAGCCGCCUGGGCUCCCAGCGCUGACUGUGCAACUUCCCAGCUCUGCUUUUAGCAGCGCAACCCCUGCCACAUUGGGAGUGUUUACACCAGAGAAAUCGGUGGAUGGACGAAUCAGGGCUUUUUACCUUUCUUUCCAGAGAGUUUGUUGUUAAGCAUUGACCAGCUCUCACUCCCGCAGUGGCGCCUGGCCCCCCUCUCCUCUGCCUCCCCAAAUCCCACCACUCCCUCCACGGCUCUUACAGCCAUAAGAUAAGCAGGGUCCAUUGAGCCCCCACACUGUAAGCUCACAGAAUCUCCCCAGCUCCCCUCGGAGUGGGACCUCUCCUAGCCUGGGGCUCAGAGACGCUCAGCCACUUACCAUAAAAGGCACAGCCUCCAGAGAACCCAAAGUUGGCCUCUCUCGGGGAAGGGGUGGAAAGCACUGCAUAAGCUUCAGUGCAGAGUUAGCCCCUGGCGGUAACCGUCCCCCUGGGCGAAGGGGGCGAGGGAGGCCCCGCUGAGGAAAAUCAGCACAAAGACGGUCGUCGCGUCGCACCAGUUACAGGGUCACAGAUACGCAGCACAGCAGAAGCCCCUCUUAACACCCAGGCCUGGGACCAAGGACAAGUUCCCUUUAGAUGCGUCCCCUCUUACGGCACAGGCGCCUCUUUGCAUCCGAGAUGUCUUUUUUCUUUGCACGGCCACACCCAUGGCAUAUGGACGCUCCCGGGGCCAGGGAUUAAAUCCGAGCCACGGUUGUGGCAACACCAGAUCCUCUAACCCCCUGAGCUAGGCGAGAGAUGGAACCCGCCACUCCACAGCCACCCGAGCCGCUGCAGUCAGACCCUUAACCCAAUGCACAGCAGUGGGAACUCCUCUGAGACCUGAAGGAAUGAGCGCUCUUGCUCAGAGGCUCCACACACCUGAGCCUCUGCUUCUCCACCCGUCAGGCUCUGGAACAAACAGCAGCGCCAGCGCUCACGGAGACGUCACACGCGGGCCAGGAGGACUGACCCCAGCAGUAUUUUCACAGCUGCAAGAAGACUUUUCCACUGGCGUCUUUAAAAAUAGGUUGUCAUCCCCCCAGCCCCCGCCCCCUGGAGGAGUCACCCAAGUAAAUCCCACAUCUCCUUCCAACGAAAAGAAGUCCAGCUCCAGGCCUGUUCUGUUUGCGCCUCGUCCAUCGACCAAACCGAGCCUGCGUCCCCACAGGGCUCCUGAGGGUCUCAUGUCCCUCCCACCAUGCGGCGGUGACGGCACCUGAGUCAGAGCUGGCUGGGUUCCAGCUCCAGAGCCAGCGGGGGAGGAAAGGCCCCCUGCCCGCGUGGCAUUCAACAGCUCAGCCGCAGGGGUCUUGCCAGCCUUGUUUUGCCAGCAGAGGCCUCACAACUGCCAAGACCCAACUUCAGAGAGACUGCAGCUGGGCAGAGCCAGGGAGGGGACGGAGGAUGGCCUUCCUUGCCCAAGCCUGCCUCCCGCCCAGAGCGGCACCCCCACCUGGCACCCAGGGCCAAGGCCCACCGAUGUGCAGAUCCACCUGCAUCUCACACCCCAUCCCGCGGCACCACAGGCAGCCCUUUACACAACGACAACAACAUGCAAAAUCUUCCGGCCCCUGUGUGGUGAGAAAACGGAGCCCCAGCCCAGCCCCCCAGGCAAGCCCCGGGGCCCGCGGUGGUGUCAGCCGACCCCUGCUCGCUCUUCCCUUUGUCCUUCUUCCGAGGAGGCCCGGCCACCGGCGGGCGAUGAAACGACAGAGCCAGGAACGUGGGCAUUUUUUAUGUGGUUCAGUAAUUUUCCAGAACAGCUGCACCAGGACGUGGGCCAUUUUCCCGGGAAGAUGCCCUCCCAGCUUUCUGUUAAGCCGCUGAGGAAUUCUGCCCGCCAGCUCCCUGGGAGGUGGCCUGGGGACAGUGCGGGACGGAGCCACGGUCUGAGCUGGGGAUGGCAGAGCCACUCGUUGAUUUGACACUUUGGGGUCCCAGCCCUGGGCCCACAGCACCCUGGGGGGCUGGGAUCUGGACAGGAUGGGUACCCGCCCGCCUUGGGGAGCUUGAAGGCCGCAGGGAGACAGGCAGGUGGCCAGGGGACCUGGCCAGCGCCAACCACACACCAAAGCCACGUGAAGGCCUGGGGGCCGGUGGAGGGGCAGCGGGCAGACUUUAGGAUGCAGCCCCACUCUGGGCCAGCGUGAAGGACCUGGUACCCCAGCGGCGGCAGGCAGCCAAACCUCGUGCUGACGUCACUGUGUGCUGUGACAUCACACCCAGGACACCAAGGCAACAACCCAUCCAAGCCGCUGCCCCGCCAGGGAAGAGGCUGGCACCCCAAGGUCAGAGAGGCAGAGACGGAGGCUCCAGCAGGCCAGUAAUUUGGCCAAAAGCUACCUGGUGGGAGGCGGUGGGCGGUACCAAGCCCAGAGCCUCUGCCCUGGACCCGCGUCCUUCUAGGACGUCCUGUGGCGCCCGCGAUGAUCGGCUCCUCCGACGCCAGGAAAGUGGCCCGGGGGCUCCCGCUCUACGUGGCACAGGGAGUCGUCCAGAGUACUUGAGGGGGUCGUGUCGCCUCCGAGCUCCGCAAACUGCACACUCAGGAGCAUGUGUGCGGAGCGCGGACACCAGCCCACUCCUCACUUUGCUGUACCGCAGAAAUUAAUACAGCAUUGUAAAUGAAAUUAAUUUUUUUAAAAAACGGGUUCUUUGGGGAGUUCCUGUUGUGGCACAGCGAUAAUGAACCCAACUAGUAUCCAUGAGGGCUUGGGUUUGAUCCCUGGCCUCGCUCACUGGGUUCAGGAUCCAGCGUUGCCCUGAGCCGUGGUGUAGGUUGCAGGUGCAGCUCAGAUCUGAUGUUGCUGUGGCUGCAGUGCAGACCUGCAGCUGCAGCUCCCAUUCGACCCCUCUCCUGGGAACUUCCAUAUGCCACAGGCGCAGCCCUAAAAAAAGAAGAAAGGAAAAAAAAAAAAAA
rnacentral:lncRNA from 1 species